UUUAUAUAAUUAGUUGCGCCUCGAGAACAAAAUGCGGUGCGUUGAGCACUUAGCGCCACAGUUUUAGGACCUUGUCGCUUUUAUGGGCUUCUCAUUUUUUUUAAACCAAGGUCGUAGCAGUUCCAUUCUCCUAUACUAAAUGGAUUAGCACCUGAGACCACAGCUAGAUGACUUAGGCGCUUACCACAGCGCGUCUACCAUGGGCGAAGCAUUGAAGGGGCCGGGAGGGGCGCCCGACCCCCCGAACUUUUUGCUCAGUAGUGUUAUGUAUGUCUGGUGACUUCCGACCCCCCGGGAGAAAUUUUCAAGCUUCGUC
rnacentral:lncRNA from 1 species